UACGUAGGGUGCAAGCGUUGUCCGGAAUCAUUGGGCGUAAAGCGCGCGUAGGUGGCUUUGUAAGUCCGUUGUGAAAGUCAAAGGCUCAACCUUUGAAUGCCGAUGGAUACUGCGGAGCUAGAGUACGGAAGAGGCGAGUGGAAUUCCUGGUGUAGCGGUGGAAUGCGCAGAUAGUCAGGAGGAACACCCAAUAGCGAAGGCAGCUCGCUGGGACGUUACUGACACUAAGGCGCGAAAGCGUGGGGAGCGAACGAGGAUU
rnacentral:rRNA from 1 species